ACGAAUGCAGCCAAAGUGGCUCUCAUUCAGGCUCAGGAGUUGUCGGUGCGCAGUGCCAGGCUGUUGGACACCGAAGGGUGCGGCAGUCAGGAUACAGCNUGCCGAGCACUCUGCWUUCCUGAUGAGAGUCGGCCAACAGCAGUUACCCCUGACUCGAAAGGGCUGUCGGGAAGGUAGCUUCUUGGUUUACCAGGAAGAACUUAUAGCCAUCGGCCUGGCAGUUGGGGGUGACUGAGGAGUGCUGUGACUUUUCACACCAGCAGUGCAGGCUCCCUAGGGGCCGGGUCGCUUCUGUCCGUGUGGGCAAUGCUUCCGGGACUGCAUGCAGUGUCGGAAGACAUGUGUGUGCUCGGGUGGGAGGUUGGCCACGCCUUGCACUGAAGUUGUUGGUACCUGGAUGGUUUCAUUC
rnacentral:rRNA from 1 species